CCUACGGGUGGCUGCAGUAAGGAAUAUUGGACAAUGGGCGGAAGCCUGAUCCAGCCAUGCCGCGUGAAGGAUGAAGGCGCUCAGCGUUGUAAACUUCUUUUGAGUGGGAACAAAAACCUCGAUGAAUCGGGGCCUGAGGGUACCACUAGAAUAAGCACCGGCUAACUCCGUGCCAGCAGCCGCGGUAAUACGGAGGGUGCGAGCGUUAUCCGGAAUCACUGGGUUUAAAGGGUGCGUAGGCGGUUGAAUAAGUCAGUCGUGAAAUUCCCCGGCUU
rnacentral:rRNA from 1 species